rnacentral:rRNA from 1 species
UAAUACGUAGGUGGCAAGCGUUGUCCGGAUUUACUGGGCGUAAAGGGCGUGCAGGCGGUCUGUUAAGUCUAGGGUGAAAGCUCCCGGCUCAACUGGGAGAGGUCCUUGGAUACUGGCGGACUUGAGGGAGGCAGAGGAGAGUGGAAUUCCCGGUGUAGUGGUGAUAUGCGUAGAUAUCGGGAGGAACACCAGUGGCGAAGGCGGCUCUCUGGGCCUUACCUGACGCUGAGACGCGAAAGCGUGGGGAGCGAACCGGAUUAGAUACCCGGGUAGUCCACGCCGUAAACUAUGGACACUAGGUGUGGGGGGUAUCGACCCCCUCUGUGCCGAAGCUAACGCAAUAAGUGUCCCGCCUGGGGAGUACGGCCGCAAGGCUA